GUGCUUAUAGUCCAGCGGUUACGAUAAUUGUCACGCCCUUCCAAGCAAUAGACCCGGGUUCGACUCCCGGCAGACGCA
rfam:Picea glauca, whole genome shotgun sequence.